CGGAUGUAGCCAAGUGGAUUAAGGCAGG
rnacentral:tRNA from 2 species